UAUGUAGGGUGCAAGCGUUGUCCGGAAUUAUUGGGCGUAAAGAGCUCGUAGGUGGCCUGUCGCGUCGGCUGUGAAAACUCGGGGCUCAACUCCGAGCUUGCAGUCGAUACGGGCAGGCUAGAGUUCGGCAGGGGAGACUGGAAUUCCUGGUGUAGCGGUGAAAUGCGCAGAUAUCAGGAGGAACACCGGUGGCGAAGGCGGGUCUCUGGGCCGAUACUGACACUGAGGAGCGAAAGCGUGGGGAGCGAACAGG
rnacentral:rRNA from 1 species